GCGCAGGUGUAAGCCUCUUGGAAGAGAGCAUCGCGGAGGGUGAGAGUCCCGUCUGUCACCUGCAGUCCCCUGUGUACGGCAUGCGUUCUGAGAGUCACGUUCCUCGGGAUUGGAGCGCAAAUUGGGUGGUAAGUUUCACCUUAAGCUAAAUAUUGGUCCGAGACCGAUAGCAAACAAGUACCAUGAGGGAAAGGUGAAAAGGACUUUGAAAAGAGAGUUAAAAGUGCUUGAAAUUGCUGAAAGGGAAGCGAAUGGAACCAGUUCUGCUGGGCGAGAUUGUCGCAUGCCAAGGCCCUGUGCCGGCCGCAUGCGGUGCUUCUUGCCUUGUGUGUCAGCUGCGGUCCGAAGUUGGGGAAAACUCUGGGGACAUGGAUGCCAACCUCCGGGGGG
rnacentral:rRNA from 1 species